CCCUUUCUCGGAAGGACAGACGCGGGGCGAGAGGGGCGCGGGCGGGGCGCCCCGGAACCCCGAGCCGCGCGGGGCGCGGGGCGCUCCCCGGGUCCCCCCGCUCGGGGGCGCCCUUCCCCCGCACCCCGCGGUCGCGGGCUCUUUCCGGGGCGUCACGAGCGCCAUUCACUUGUCAGGUUCUCGGGAAGUUGAAAUCGUGUUCGGGAUGUAAUAGGAGAAAGAGGAGGAGGACGUGCAGGCGUAGAAAAAUGCGGUUUCCAUAGCGCCGGGAGGAGGGCGGGCCUCAGCAGAAAGCAGCCCCGGAGCCGGGGUCUCCGCGCCGGCGGUCCUCGCGAGACCCCCGCGCCCCGGUGGCGGGCGGGCGCGCCCACACCUGCGGGCGCGGCACCAGGCGGCGCCCGCCAAGUUGAGAUGCCCUUGAAGAACUGCCUCGGAUUGUUGUAUCUGCGUGGCUUUUGUGACUUUCAAAGUCAGUGACAAAUAAGCACCCAUACAGUUACGUCUCCUAGACGACCAAGUGACGGUGGUGAGGGUGGGGCUUUUUUGAGCUCACAUCAGAGCAGGCUCCGGAUCCCCAAAAUCUAAGAAGGUCAAACAAAAUAAACCCUUGCCUGUUUUUUUUUAAUUGUGUGUCUUCAUGAAACAAUUUGCAACAAUCAUUUAUCUUACUAUUGAUAUAAUCUUGGGUUUUUAAAAUUCGGUUUAGGACGUUUAUCUUUGAAUGUUCCCUAUAAUUUAUGAAAGUCUUUAUUUUAAAUAUGAUGAAAUCUUAAAUCUAAGAAAAGUUAAAUUUGUAAUUUUUGAAGGGAUUAUAUUUAUAUUUUAACAUAUUCAUAUAAUAUUAUCUUGGCUAAUUUUAUGGGUGGAGAGCACUGACUAAUACAAAGAUCAUAGCAUUUUUAUUUUUAGCAUAUAUACAGAUAUGAUUAUUGGUGAGUAGCAUAAAUUUGGGAAGAACGACCAGUGUGGCAAAUAUCAUAAGAUUUGCCUCAGUGGGAUGUAAAGUUGAUUUUCCAUUUUUAAGCCAUACCUUAGAAAAAUAAUACCUCAAGGAAUGCCAGUGUAAGUGUGUGCACCUGUGUGUGUGUGUGUGUGUGUGUGUUAAGGGCACCACCUUUAUUGAACGAUGUGCUUUGGUUUUCUGUUCCUUUUAGAUCCUAUUGCUUUUUUUAUGUGAACAAAUGUUGCCUAGCAAAAUGUCUACACAGAAAGGAAAGAUGAAGGGAUUCUUAUCUUGUAGCUUGAAGAAAAUGUGGCCCAACUUUGUUGACUUUGUGAUAAGUUCCAUCCCACUUUAGGAGGGAUGCCGGUGGGCCUGCCUAGAUGUUCCAUAACCCCAAACAGCAGAUGGUGACCGGCUUCCUCCCUUCAGCAGCGGGUAAUGGCUUCUUCUGAGAAGGAAUAUUACACCGUUUGAUCCUGUGGACAUCCAAAUACAAACCUGCAACAACCGCACAGCUGUGCCUGUUGGGAGGGACAGUCCCUCGUGUGUCUCCUGUUCCCACUCCUCGUGCUGGGAACUCCCUAAACUUCUGGGCACCAGCAGCGAGAAAGGGAGGACUGGACCUGUCCUCUGGCUCCCGCAGCCCCAGCUUCUGCUCCUGCUCCUCUGGCUUCCGCAGAAGGGAAGGGAGAAGAGCCUACCUGAACAUACUUUUAUAAUUUGGCUGCUUGUUCCUUCUCCCUGGCAAGUAUCUAGAUGCCGGGUGUUAUCUCUGUAUUUCUGGGCUCCCCAGGAGCUCCACCGUCAGCCAGCCGGAGUCUCCUCUGAGACAGGUCACUUUCCUGGCAGCCUUCUUGGGAGAAGACUUUGAGCCAGGCCCCAGUCCCUGCCCAUGGUAUCAGGUCAGUGGGGAACUCUGCAUCCUUGCCCCUCCCCACACCUGUCCCUAAUUUGGGAAGAGCAAGUCUCUCUCACCAUUGCUCUUUUUGUCCUGUCACUGUGGGCUACUCCAGAUGUUCUUCUUUCCUGCUUCUCUAGGUAAUAGUCAACAGUCUCUUGGUUCAAAUGUGCCCACCAAUUCCAGGAGAUGCCUUGUGUGCACACCCCUGCACCCACCCCACCCCCACAUACCUUCCUGGAGCUCCUGGCCAUGCCCCGCCUGAUCCAGUGCGGCUCUUGUGAGAUUUUACAGCUCAGGGACUUUUGUCUUCUUGGAAGUACAUCCCGUAUUGCUCAAUGAUUCUCACGGCCAUCUAUUCAUUGACUUGGGAGAACAAAUGCCGAAAACUCCAAACUAGACCAAUAACUCCCUUCAAGGAAAGCCAUAAACAUAAUCAGUCUCCUUGAAUUCCUCCUCUUCAUUUAUAUUGGCUGUUGGUGGGUGAUGGGUGAAGGAUCUCAGAAAUGGUUUUGGCCACUUUUUGCAAGUCCUGUGGUUUUCCCGAUCAGCGGUGAGGGCAAUCCUGCUCCAUCGUCCUCAGCUCCUAAGCCCCAGCUGAAUCUCUGGGGCUCUAGGGAAGUUCCAUUUAAUAUUGCAUCACAGUCAUUUCAGCUGAGACUGUGUUCGUUUGAGCAAAGCAAGCCUGGCAUGUACCCCUCCUGUUUCUUAUUCAUUUCUGAGGCCUUAGGGUCCAUUUUUUAUAGAAGCUCUUUCUCCCCAGGAAGGCCCCUGUAAGUGCCAGGUUUAUUACUGCUCCGUUUCAGCUCCCUGCCACCCAUUUGGCAUCCCCUAGGAAUUCCCCUUCGCUUACACAGAGGUCCCAAAUAUCCUCUUCCUCUGCUCCUUGGCAACAAGUGAACGCUUGAGUAAACAAGUCAACACAGAGAUCAAUGCCCUGCCUUCUCCUGACCACACAGGCCGGUAGUUUUCCAUGUGAAGGUUCAUGACCAAUUUUCACCUUUCCUAAUAAUCAAACCACUUUCCCUUUGCACACAGAUGAGUGUGUAUCUGUCUCUACAAAAACAUGUACAACAUAGAGGUAAACUGUAUCAGAUGGUCAAAAGGACAAUGAGAACCCUCAAAGAAAGAGGAAUGUCUUUCUAUCAGCUUGGAAACAAUGGAAAGAAAAUAGGAGCCUUCUUUGGGACAAGUCAAUAAAACACAAAUAUAAUGCGGCAAACAAAGGUCGAGUGGCCUGAAGUGCUAUAAAGCCUGUGCAUUUGUAACGGCUACCACGUCAGUAAGUCGAGCUAUGCCAGCCUCCUGGAAGCCCGGAUAUGUGUCCUUAUCCCAAUCACCAUGCUCUAUCCCUCCAAAGUAACCACCAUCCAAACAUUUAUAUUAAUUGCUCCCUUACAUUGUUUACUAUUGCAUUUAGAUUUACUGUGUUUUUAAUUCUACACCCCCCCCCAUUCCAUUCUUUUUCUUGUAGUUCAUCUAUUGAAGAAUGUGGGCUCUUUCUCCGAUGAUGUUUCCCGCAGACUAGAUCUUGCUAAUUACUAUUAAAAUAAUUGUACACAGCAGUUGUCCUGUGUCUCCUCCAUGCAGCCGGAUUCAAAGGUUUGAUCACAUUCCUUUGGCAGGACUACAGGUGGCUUUGAGCUCUGUCAUCAGAAGGCACAUGGUGUCUGAUUUUGCUCCUGUUUGACAAUGACAGUCAUUGGCGCUCAAUGCCUGGAAGCAUAGUUUAGCCAGAAACUAGAAAAUACUUAUAUUUUAAUUCAAUAAUUUUGUUUUUGUUUAUUUUCUAAAACAAAUCUUACAAGGAGAUCCUAGUCUAAUCUUUGGUUGCCACUAUGUACAGUUAAGGUAGGAUAAGCAGAAAAAGUGCUUGAUUCUUCCUUUUACUUGCUAAUAUUUUGGGAUAAUGAACUCGUUACUUAUCCUCUUCAGAAAGUAACAAUUUAAAAAAUGUAUCAUUAUGAACACAAGGAGUUAAGCCUAUGUGUCCAUCUAUGCCCGCUUGGAUGUGGUACAGAGCUCACUUUUGCUCUGGGCUUCACUCAAAACUGAUAGUUUUAGUAAUACCUAGACACUGGGUCAUAACAGUGUUCCCAGUGACCAUGUUGCCUCUAAAACCCCAAAAGAGCUAUCAACCACUAUGCUGAUUUCUUAGUAGCAGAAAGCACAAAGUACAAGCUAAUUCUUUAGAGCUGACGUCUGGUAUCAUGCCUAGCUCAUUGGACAGGAACGAUUUCACAGAUGUGUCAUUUUCUGAGUGUUUUUCAGGGUUAUUGGACAUACAUUUUGGCAAGUCCGAUCGAUGUGCAUGGUGACAUCACUAUGGUAGACCAGCAUGUCAUUCUGCAUGCACGGGCUCAAAGUGAUAGAGGUCCCUAUAGAUUAUAUUGUAACAACAACAUACAUGUGAAUGCAGCUCUUUGACGUGACAGCAAACACACGUCUGUGCUUCCAUCAUCAAAGCCUACUGCUUUUGAUCCUCCUAAUGGGGAAUAUGAAGAAUGCGUUUGCCAGAUCGAUAACUGCACACCAAAUGGCAGAGACCACGUUUAGCACAGGUGAAGUGACUAGGACUACCGGUGAGUUCAACUACAGCUGUCCACCAGCACUGCCACUGUAGGGGCCAUGGUGGCAGCAGAAGGGGGAUGUGGUAGGGCAGAUACCCCCUCACCCUUUAAGUCUCAAGUUGGCAUUAACUUCUAUAAUUCCUCCAACAGUGAGCUGUUACUGCCUAGGCUGGAGGGAGAACAACAGAUGCAGGGGCUUCAUUGGUUCUUCCCACCAUGCUGGCUCCUGUGCAGGUCAGGGUGCUAAUUGGAGGGUUCUGUCAGUGCUGGCUCUAGUGUUUCUCAAUAGCAGGUUAACUGAGACUUUGACCUGAACAAUUCCUUGUGUGGGGGUGUCCUGUGGUCAGCAGCAUCUCUGACCUCUACCCACUGGAUGCCAGUAUCACCCAUACCCAACCCCUGAGGACAUGAGAAGCAAGAAUGUCUCUGGAUAUUGCCAAAUGUCCCCUGAGGGGCAAAAUCACCCCCAACUGAGAAACACCAUGCUAACUAUAUCUGCCCCAAUUACAUAUUCAAGAACACAGGCAAUUAACACAGUGUGGGGGCCCUAGUGCUCUUUGGGCGAAGCACUGGCCUUGGUGUCCCCACUUUAAUCCUGUGGGCAGGCAGGGCAGUGAGCCCAGGUUCCUGGUGUCAGUGUCUACUCAAGCCGUGUACUCAAGAGAUAUCAAAAGAUCUCAGUGUUCCUCUUUUCCCAGCGUGUGAUUCCCAUUGGAAUGACAGCAAGUGACUUUGGGGGAAAUAUUUAUAGAAUAUUAUUGUGGGUCUUUUCUCAAAGGGAUGUGGUCUCUCCUUCAGUCAGAGGGCCCCGGGUCAGUGGACGGGCUCAGAUCUGUAACCUGGCUGAGGGUCACAAUUUUCCAUCGAGGAGGCUGAUGCCAGUCAGCAGCUUUCAAUUUUUCCAGUUCUGAAGUCCACGACGCCUUGGCUAGCUGUGCAUCCAUUCCACCCCUAGGAACACCUGAUCAAUUAGCCGCUACCGCAUUUCUCUUCAGCUCAAGGCACCCUGGUAGCCCCUCUGGCCCCACUGCCCAUGGCAGUGAGCAUGUCCACCUGUUACGAAGUCCCUGUCAGUUCAGUAGCUGCACGGGCCCCCACACUGUGUUAACUGCCCCAGUUCUCGAAUGUGUAAGGGUAGAUAUAUUUAGCACAGUGGCUCUCAAUCAAGGGCAAUUUUGCUUAGCUUCUGCCAUUCCAGGAUUUUAUAAUCCCACCUAUGAAAGCGUCAUGGUGGUGUCUCACGUCCUGCCCCCUCUCCCUUCCCCGGAGGUUUUCUCCAUCACAUUGAUCUUUUCCCAUCUGCCCACGUCUACUGUGCUCUCUCGGGUGUCCAGGCUUUGCAAAGGCCAUUCCUUCUGCCUAAAUUUCAAUUUCUUACUUCCCUGUCCUCCAACAGGCUCUCACAUAUUUGUCCUCUGAUCUCAGCAUAGAUAGAACUUCCUCUAGAAAGCGUAUUCUAAACCUUAAACCCUGGCAACGGGCUUCUCCAAUGCCCCUCCCCCGGCGCUCAUAGCUAUCCGUAGCCCUUCCUAAAAUAGAUGGGUGACUACAUGUUCACUUCUCUGUAUGUGAAGUCAGGACCACACUUGUCCUUGCUCUCUGCAGUGCCCUGAGGUCCCAACCCUGUGCCUGCACACAGUGGGUGCUCCAUGGAUGUUUGUUGAAUGAAUACACGACAUGCUGCAGCCACCACUUAGCAAGCGCUUAUCCAGUGUCAAGUUCUAUGCCUGUCUCUUCACAUAAAGCAUCUCAGUUUUUUGAACAGUCUCAUUAGGUAGACAUUACCAUGCUGUAUUAAAGAUGAGAAAGACAAAGUGCACAGAGAUUUUAAAACUUACUCAAAGCCAUAGAGUCAAGAAAUAAUAGUAAUUUGCACCUUGGUCCUUUGAAACUAAAGUGUAUUGUUUUCACCUGCUGCCAGCCACAUGGAGAGCAAACAACAACUGUCCAUGCUGAUCUGCUUUAAGGUCGGCUUAGAGAGCCUACUCCCCUGGCAGGCCAUACUGACAUUUACAAAACAGUGGACAUGAAUUUCAAGAUGGUAUGAUUCAAAUGUUAUUUUGCCAUGAAGCCUUUCUGGUCCAUCAUAAAGCAUAUUGUUUUCUUCCUUCUUUGAAUAUUCAUAAUUUCUUUUUCACAACUCAUGAUUUUGCAACUGACUAUAUGCUGUCCUAACUCACUGCAUACCCAUUUCUUAGUCACAUAGUACAUGUCCUCAAGAUCCUGUAAAUGAAGGAGCCUUGCACUCUCCUGUUCUUAGUCGAACCCCAGGUGCUCAGAGAGCUGUGGUUGCCAGGAGGAGGGGAGCUGAGUGUAGACUCUCAGGCAGGGCAACAGUUGGGGGGGGUCCGACCUUUUUAGCACACCACAAUGCUGACACUACAUUGAAAUACUUCUGUCAGUAGAACAAAAGCAAAUUGUUCUAUUUGCCCCCUUCUUCAGACCACAAAAUACACAUUGGAAUCAAGAAGAUGAUCCCCAAGAGGAGCUCAAAACCAGAAACGACUGCUGGCCGUGGGCCCGCUGGCCAGCAGGCAGUCAGGGGCUGCCUGCAGCAGAAAGGUCCUCCCGUUGGGGACAGUCUGCAGAGUCAUUUCAAGAUGCCUGAACUUUCGUAAUGAGGCACUGGAGGCCAGCGCUGAUGCCAACUGAAGGCAAGGCAGGUGUCGGGCCACCUCUGCCCAAACAGACCCUGCAGGUGUGGAAGUCCCACGGAAGACGUCCUUGUCUGUGCAGCCUCAGGCCUGCCUGUCACUUAGUGACACGAUGGCUUACCCAUUGGAACUUUCGGAGCCAGGGACGCAGAGGCUGUAGCCCAGCCCUCGGUGGCAGCAGACAGUGUCCUGGGGUUAGGGGAGAAGGAAGGGACUGGGUGUCCUGGGCUAAUCCUUCUCUGGACACCUUGUCAGGCGCUCCACUGGGGUUCUUUCAAGGGUGGCAAACUUUGUCCAUAAAAGGCCAUUUAGUAAAUAUUUUAGGGUUUGUGGACCAUAUAAUUUUUGUUGGAACUGCUCGGCAGGUGGGUCGCAGCCAGGACUCUGAGCCAGCUUUAUCUGAUACUCAAUCCCCUGAGCUUUUCCCUCGGAUCACCCUGAUAAAAUGGCCACCACUUACACCUUCUGUGCCUGUACAUGCCAGACGGUGUUGUAAGCACUCCUCAAAAAGUUAACUUAUGUGAUCCUCUUACAUUAAGGAUUUAACUUAUUUGAUUCUAUGUAUGGGGUAGGAAUCACCUUUGUCUCCAUUUUAGAAAUGAGGAGGUGGAGGUGCAGGGAGUCUAAGAACUUGCCUGCAGGCGCACAGCCGACUUCAGUGUUGCUGGGAUUUGAACCCUGGCAGACUGCCUUGAAAGUCUGGGCUCCUACCCGUGAUGCUAAAAUACAGAUGAGCCAAACACCCACAGUAAAAGACACUGAAUAAUUGAAUGCUCAACUGUGUGGUCAGGACUCAAAGUGGCGUCAGAGCUUGGAGGACGGUCCAUGUGGAACGGAGCUGUCAAGGCAGCCCCCUGCAGGAGGAAGGAGACCAGGACAGGCGUGAGAGCGGAGGGGGGUUCCAUCUGGGAGUGCAGGAAAGGACAAUGCCAGUCUCCCUGGAAUGCUGCUGUUUGCUCCUUGUCCACACGCUCUCUGUUUAACCCAUAACCAAAAUUUAUCAAGCUCUUACAAUGUGCCCUAGUCUCAUUUCCCUAAAAGACAAAUUAAUCUGUUUUACUACAUAGAUAAUCGGAGGAUAUUAUUGAAGCUAAACGCAGUUUUGAAAAUCUCCCUUAAGGGAAGCAUGGCUCAGCAGCCGGGUGGAAUCGGGCAGCCUGGCUCUGGCUGCUGCGCUGCCGUUUGCAGGGAGGCUUAUCAGGUAGGACUUUUCCUAGCUCAGGUGGCAGAAAAUGCAACUCAAACUGCCCUAAAUCAAAAAAGGAGAUUUGUUGGCCAGAAACGGAAAGGCCGGGUGGCGAACAGCCUAUGUGCGCGGCCUGGCCUGGGCAGGGCCGUCCAGAACCUGCGCCCUCUCUCCACUCUGUGCCUGCGUCUCUGGUGCGGCGCGUCCCCCCUGCCCCAGCGCAGCUGGGCGGACACAGGGGCCGGCAGGUCCCACGCCAGCACUUCAGGUGGAGGACCUGGAGCCUUCUACACUCUGUCUCUGACCAGCUGACAGAGGUCACAUGGACAUUUUCUGGGCUGGUAGAACAGGGGACUUGGGCAGUUCAGGUCACAAACCAUCCCUAGUGCUUGAGUGGAUUCAACCUCUCUAGGCCAUUUUGAGUCCUUGUCACUUAAUUUAGCAAGGAAUUACCCAAUGCUUUUCUUUACUGUGGUGGAUAGAGCUGUUCCUUCCAAGCAAAAGUCAGGUGUCCUCAUAAAUGAGUUGGAGUGGCUGCUAGUGUCCUGAAAACAAUGUUUUCCCACUGUUAAAUAACCCUGGGCCUAUCCCUUAUGCUUCAUUUCUCUUAAUUUCCUCAUUACCUAUGUGCCAAAUACCCUAAAAGACUGAUAUAUUGAAUGCCAUUUCUUUAACAUUGGGUUGUUAUUUUACCCCCAGCCUCACCCGUGCAGUUGGCCACACCUGCUAUCCCCUCUUGAGCCUGUCACCGUCCACAAUGCCUCUGGUACAGUCCUUCUUGCCCCACACCGUGUUAUCAGGUGAGGUGGGUGUCCCCGAGCCUGGGAGGAGGCGCCCAUGAGAACCUGCACCACCUCCUUUUAGGAUGUGCUCCACAGACCCUGGGCUGCCCACGCAGGGCUGAUGCUGGCUGUGGUGCCAGCGCGGAGCUGCAGUGCAGGACAGGUGUCUGCUGCCCGUGCACAAAGGCCGCUCCAGCACGGAGCUGGGGCCAGAGAAGGAGGGAGGCAGGCUGCAGGCCAGGCCCCGGGGCCAGCUCUGCUCACCGGGUUGGACAUGGAGCUCUGAGGAGCUUGAGAAUUCUAAAUAGAACCUGAACUUGUGGCCCCUUAUAAAGGUUUAUUUGUUAAACAUCAACAAAUCGAUAAAUAAAACAGAAUCGAUUGUAUUGACAGUUUUCCGGUCUGGUUUAUUCAUAUGAGGUUUGGGGCUCCACUUGUGCCCCUGUACUGACUCUACAAUUUCUCAGCAAGAAAGCAGCGCAUGGAGAAAAACCAGGAAGUGCAGAGACAGCAGAUUUAAACUGGAAAGUCCAGACUGGAAUCUUGAGAGAGUGAAGGGGGAAGGGUGGCGGUGGCAGGGAGGAGAGAGGGGAAAGGAGGAGACAGUGCCAUG